AUAACAAUUAGUGUGAAUGUGAACACAUUGGGAAAUGAUAGGGCGGGGUAUGUGAGUUAAUAUGACAGUGCUGUGGGGGAACCUUAGACCAGAAAGGUUGGAAAGCACUGAUCUACAGUAUUUUAUAUUAUUGACCUACCGGUAUAUUACAGACAUGC